AACGAACGCUGGCGGCGCGCCUAAUACAUGCAAGUCGAGCGAGAAGGUGUAGCAAUACACUUGUAAAGCGGCGAACGGGUGAGGAAUACAUGGGUAAUCUACCAUCGAGUGGGGAAUAACCAACCGAAAGGUUGGCUAAUACCGCGUACGCCUCCGAGUCUUCGGGUUCGGAGGGAAAGCUGCACUGUGAGUGUAGCGCUCUUUGAUGAGCUCAUGUCCUAUCAGCUUGUUGGUAGGGUAACGGCCUACCAAGGCUUUGACGGGUAGCUGGUCUGAGAGGACGAUCAGCCACACUGGCACUGCGACACGGGCCAGACUCCUACGGGAGGCAGCAGUAAGGAAUAUUGCGCAAUGGGCGAAAGCCUGACGCAGCGACGCCGCGUGGGGGAUGAAGGUCUUCGGAUUGUAAAGCUCUUUCAGGUGGAAGAAAACGCAUAGGUUAAUACCUUGUGUGGAUGACGGUACCAUCAGAAGAAGCACCGGCUAACUACG
rnacentral:rRNA from 1 species